rnacentral:rRNA from 1 species
UUAGAUAGAAACCAACCCUCUUCGGAGGCGCUCAGGUGAUUCAUGAUAACUCUGCGAAUCGCAUGGCCUCGUGCCGGCGAUGGAUCAUUCAAGUUUCUGCCCUAUCAGCUUUGGAUGGUAGGGUA